AGUGAACGCUGGCGGUAGGCCUAACACAUGCAAGUCGAACGGCAGCACAGUAAGAGCUUGCUCUUACGGGUGGCGAGUGGCGGACGGGUGAGGAAUACAUCGGAAUCUACUUUUUCGUGGGGGAUAACGUAGGGAAACUUACGCUAAUACCGCAUACGACCUACGGGUGAAAGCAGGGGAUCUUCUGACCUUGCGCGAUUGAAUGAGCCGAUGUCGGAUUAGCUGGUUGGCGGGGUAAAGGCCCACCAAGGCGACGAUCCGUAGCUGGUCUGAGAGGAUGGUCAGCCACACUAGAACUGAGACACGGUCCAGACUCCUACGGGAGGCAGCAGUGGGGAAUAUUGGACAAUGGGCGCAAGCCUGAUCCAGCCAGACCGCGUGGGUGAAGAAGGCCUUCGGGUUGGAAAGCCCUUUUGUUGGGAAAGAAAAGCAGCAGGUUAAUACCCCGCUGUUCUGACGGUAACCAAAGAAUAAGCACCGGCUAACUUCGUG
rnacentral:rRNA from 1 species